AAGGCUUUAGCUUAAAUUAAAGCAGUUGGGUUGCAGUCAGCUGAUGUAUGUUAGAGGCAUACAAGUCUUG
rnacentral:tRNA from 1 species